rnacentral:rRNA from 1 species
AGUCGAGGGGUAUAGGUUUUCGGACCUAGAGACCGGCGCACGGGUGCGUAACGCGUAUGCAAUCUACCUUUCACAGAGGGAUAGCCCAGAGAAAUUUGGAUUAAUACCUCAUAGUAUUAUAGGAUGGCAUCAUUUUAUAAUUAAAGUCACAACGGUGAAAGAUGAGCAUGCGUCCCAUUAGUUAGUUGGUAAGGUAACGGCUUACCAAGACUACGAUGGGUAGGGGUCCUGAGAGGGAGAUCCCCCACACUGGUACUGAGACACGGACCAGACUCCUACGGGAGGCAGCAGUGAGGAAUAUUGGACAAUGGGCGCAAGCCUGAUCCAGCCAUGCCGCGUGCAGGAUGACGGUCCUAUGGAUUGUAAACUGCUUUUAUACGAGAAGAAACAGUACUUCGUGAAGUACCUUGACGGUAUCGUAAGAAUAAGGAUCGGCUAACUCCGUGCCAGCAGCCGCGGUAAUACGGAGGAUCCAAGCGUUAUCCGGAAUCAUUGGGUUUAAAGGGUCCGUAGGCGGUUUAGUAAGUCAGUGGUGAAAGCCCAUCGCUCAACGGUGGAACGGCCAUUGAUACUGCUAAACUUGAAUUAUUAGGAAGUAACUAGAAUAUGUAGUGUAGCGGUGAAAUGCUUAGAGAUUACAUGGAAUACCAAUUGCGAAGGCAGGUUACUACUAAUGGAUUGACGCUGAUGG